AUUGAACGCUGGCGGCAGGCCUAACACAUGCAAGUCGAACGAGAGGCGGACGGGUGAGCAAUGUCUGGGAAACUGCCUGAUGGAGGGGGAUAAGUACGAGAAACGGUAGCUAAAACCGCAUACCACCAGAUGUGACCAGAUGGGAUUAGCUUGUUGGUGGGGUAACGGCUCACCAAGGCGACGAUGCCUAGCUGGCCUGAGAGGAUUACCAGCCACACUGGGACUGAGACACGGUCCAGACUCCUACGGGAGGCAGCAGUGGGGAAUAUUGCACAAUGGGCGCAAGCCUGAUGCAGCCAUGCCGCGUGUAUGAAGAAGGCCUUCGGAUUGUAAAGUACUUUCAGUGGUGAGGCGUUACCCACAGAAGAAGCACCGGCUAACUCCGUGCCAGCAGCCGCGGUAAUUC
rnacentral:rRNA from 1 species